UAAGGGGGGGGCGGGCGUUAAUCGGAAUUACUGGGCGUAAAGCGCACGUAGGCGGCUUGGUAUGUCGGGUGUGAAAUCCCCGGGCUCAACCUGGGAACUGCAUCCGAAACUGCCUUGCUCGAGUAUGGGAGAGGGAAGCGGAAUUUCCGGUGUAGCGGUGAAAUGCGUAGACAUCGGAAGGAACAUCAGUGGCGAAGGCGGCUUCCUGGACCAAUACUGACGCUCAGGUGCGAAAGCGUGGGGAGCAAACAGG
rnacentral:rRNA from 1 species